rnacentral:rRNA from 1 species
GUGCCAGCAGCCGCGGUAAUACGGAGGGUACAAGCGUUAAUCGGAAUUACUGGGCGUAAAGCGCGCGUAGGCGGUUAAGUAAGUUGGAUGUGAAAGCCCUGGGCUCAACCUAGGAACUGCAUUCAAAACUAUUUAACUAGAGUACGAGAGAGGAGAGUAGAAUUUCUGGUGUAGCGGUGAAAUGCGUAGAUAUCAGAAGGAAUACCAAUGGCGAAGGCAGCUCUCUGGAUCGUCACUGACGCUAAGGUGCGAAAGCGUGGGUAGCAAACAGGAUUAGAUACCCUGGUAGUCCACGCCGUAAACGAUGAGAACUAGCCGUUGGGGAGAAUUAACUCUUCAGUGGCACAGCUAACGCAUUAAGUUCUCCGCCUGGGGACUACGGCCGCAAGGCUAAAACUCAAAUGAAUUGACGGGGGCCCGCACAAGCGGUGGAUCAUGUGGUUUAAUUCGAUGCAACGCGAAGAACCUUACCUACCCUUGAAAUCCAGCGAAGUUCCUAGAGAUAGGAAUGUGCCUUCGGGAACGCUGUGACAGGUGUUGCAUGGCUGUCGUCAGCUCGUGUCGUGAGAUGUAUGGUUAAGUCCAGUAACGAGCGCAACCCCUAUCCUUAUUUGCCAGCGCAUAAUGGCGGGGACUAUAAGGAGACUGCCGGUCAUAAACCGGAGGAAGGCGGGGACGAAGUCAAGUCAUCAUGGCCCUUAUGGGUAGGGCUACACACGUGAUACAAUGGGUGGUACAGAGGGUCGCCAAAGCGCGAGCUGGAGCCAAACCCUUAAAACCAUUCUUAGUCCGGAUUGGAGUCUGCAACUCGACUCCAUGAAGUUGGAAUCGCUAGUAAUCGCGAAUCAGAAUGUCGCGGUGAAUACGUUCUCGGGCCUUGCACACACUGCCCGUC